UACGGGGGGGGCAAGCGUUGUUCGGAAUUACUGGGCGUAAAGGGCUCGUAGGCGGCCAACUAAGUCAGACGUGAAAUCCUGGAGCUCAACUCCAGAACUGCCUUUGAUACUGAAGAUCUUGAGUCCGGGAGAGGUGAGUGGAACUGCGAGUGUAGAGGUGAAAUUCGUAGAUAUUCGCAAGAACACCAGUGGCGAAGGCGGCUCACUGGCCCGGUACUGACGCUGAGGCACGAAAGCGUGGGGAGCAAACAGG
rnacentral:rRNA from 1 species